UUAAGGUAUCAAGGGCAUACGACGGAUGCCUAGGCACUUACAGCCGACGAAAGACGCAGCAAGCGGCGAAACGCCGCGGGGAGCCGCAAGCAGGCCUCGAUCCGCGGAUAUCUGAAUGGGGCAACCCCACGGGAGCAGACCCGUGACUCCGUAAAGGAGAGGAACCCGGUGAAGUGAAACAUCUCAGUAGCCGGAGGAAAAGAAAUCGCAGAGAUCCCCCCAGUAGUGGUGAGCGAACAGGGGCCAGCCUAAACCCAUACAGUGCAAGGCAGCAGCCGUUGCUGUACAGGGAGUUGCGGGACAGUCGGGGAAGCGCUGCUGAGCUUCCGCAGAGUGAGAAAAGACCGAGUUAGUCGAAUCGUGUUGGAAAAGCGAGCCGCAGAGCGUGAAAGCCGCGUAGACGAAAACCCGGUCCCUCUGAAGACCCAAUCCCAAGUAGAGCGGAGCACGAGAAAUUCCGUUUGAAUCCGGGCCGCCCAUGGUCCAAGGCUAAAUACUGUAAGUGACCGAUAGCGCAUAGUACCGAGAGGGAAAGGUGAAAAGCACCCCGGGAGGGGAGUGAAAGAGACCUGAAAUCGUAUGCCUACAAGCAGUUGGAGCUUGAAAUACAGCGAUGUAUGGAAAGUGACAGCGUGCCUAUUGAAAAAUGAGCCGGCGAGAUAUUGCAUGCAGCGAGGUUAAGGGAUGAAGUUCCGGAGCCGAAGCGAAAGCGAGUUCGAAGAGAGCGCGAAGUUGCCUGCAAUAAACCCGAAGCCUGACGAUCUAGCCAUGGGCAGGUUGAAGUGGGGGUGAAACCCCAUGGAGGACCGCACCAGUGCCUGUUGAAAAAGUCUUGGAUGACCUGUGGUUAGGAGUGAAAAGCUAAUCGAGUUAGGUAAUAGCUGGUUCUCCCCGAAAUGCAUUGAGGUGCAGCCUUGAUGGAUUCGUGUCGAGGGUAGAGCGACUGACAGCUCAAGCGGUCCUGGGGGAUUUGCGCGAGCCAUCAAACUCCGAAUAUCGACACGAGAAAGUCAGGAGUGAGACCGCGGGUGAUAAGGUUCGUGGUCGAAAGGGAAACAGCCCAGAUCAUCAGCUAAGGCCCCGAAGAGCAUGCUAAGUGUGACAAGGAUGUAGGGACCCGGAAACAGCCAGGAGGUUGGCUCAGAAGCAGCCAUCCUUUAAAGAGUGCGUAACAGCUCACUGGUCGAGGACCCCCGCGCCGAAAAUGUAGGGGGCUAAGCAUGCCGCCGAAGCUAUGGGAUGGAGAAAUCCAUCGGUAGGGGAGCGUAGUCAGCGGGACGAAGCGAAAUUGUAAAGUUUCGUGGACAGCUGAGUAGUGAGAAUGCCGGCAUGAGUAACGACAUAUUUGCGAGAAUCAAAUACACCGGAAGACCAAGGAUUCCUGGGGAAGGUUGAUCCGCCCAGGGUAAGGCGGGACCUAAGUCAAGGCUGAAAAGCGUAGAUAAUGGACAGCAGGUCGAAAUUCCUGCCCCGCGAUAAGUUCGCUACGACCGAAGCAGCGACGCAGAAAGCUAGACAGGCCGGCUGAUGGAAUAGCCAGUCCAAGGAAGCAGGUUGGAGAGACAGUCAAGCACAUCUCUCCGUCAAGACCGAGAUCCGAGAGGGAGCCUCUUUCGAGGCGAAGCUGUUGAAGCUCUGCUGCCAGGAAAACCUGCUAGGGAGAACUUAUGGCGCCCGUACCCGAAACCGACACAGGUGGUCAAGCUGAGCAAGCUAAGGUGAGUGGAAUAACUCUCGUUAAGGAACUCUGCAAGUUAACUCCGUAACUUAGGGAGAAGGAGUGCUGCCCCCGUCAAUCGUAAGGUGAAGCGGGGAGCAGCCACAGAAACCAGGCUCAAGCGACUGUUUACCAAAAACACAGGACUCUGCAUAAGACGCAAGUCGAAGUAUAGAGUCUGACGCCUGCCCGGUGCUGGAAGGUUAAAUGGAAGAGUGAGCCGCAAGGCGCAGCUUAGAAAUGAAGCCCCAGUAAACGGCGGCCGUAACUAUAACGGUCCUAAGGUAGCGAAAUUCCUUGUCGGGUAAGUUCCGACCU
rnacentral:rRNA from 1 species